AUGGCAUCAAAGCGCAUCCUCAAGGAACUGAAGGACCUGCAGAAGGACCCGCCCACAUCAUGCAGCGCAGGUCCUGCUGGUGAGGACAUGUUUCAUUGGCAAGCAACAAUUAUGGGACCCCCUGACAGUCCCUAUGCCGGUGGUGUUUUCUUAGUGAACAUUCAUUUCCCUCCGGAUUACCCCUUCAAGCCACCAAAGGUAUCUUUUAAGACAAAGGUCUUCCAUCCUAAUAUCAACAGCAAUGGAAGCAUAUGCCUUGAUAUUCUUAAGGAGCAGUGGAGCCCUGCUUUGACGAUCUCUAAGGUCUUGCUCUCUAUCUGUUCCCUGCUGACCGAUCCCAACCCGGAUGAUCCCCUUGUUCCCGAGAUUGCCCACAUGUACAAGACGGACCGGUCAAAGUAUGAGACGACAGCCCGCAGCUGGACGCAGAAGUACGCCAUGGGUUGA
rnacentral:rRNA from 1 species